rnacentral:rRNA from 1 species
GGGCCCGCACAAGCGGUGGAGUAUGUGGUUUAAUUCGAUGCAACGCGAAGAACCUUACCAGGGUUUGACAUCCUGCGAAUCUCUUGGAAACGAGAGAGUGCCUUCGGGAGCGCAGUGACAGGUGGUGCAUGGCUGUCGUCAGCUCGUGUCGUGAGAUGUUGGGUUAAGUCCCGCAACGAGCGCAACCCUUAUUUUUAGUUGCCUUAUGGAACUCUAGAAAGACUGCCGGUUAUAAACCGGAGGAAGGCGGGGAUGACGUCAAGUCAGCAUGCCCCUUACACCCUGGGCUACACACGUGCUACAAUGGGUGAGACAAUGAGAUGCAACUCUGCGAAGACAAGCUAAUCUAUAAACUCACUCUAAGUUCGGAUUGUAGGCUGCAACUCGCCUGCAUGAAGUUGGAAUCGCUAGUAAUCG